rnacentral:rRNA from 1 species
UACGUAGGGUGCUAGCGUUACUCGGAAUUACUGGGCGUAAAGCGUGCGUAGGCGGCUUUUUAAGUCAGAUGUGAAAGCCCCGGGCUUAACCUGGGAAUGGCAUUUGGGACUGCAAGGCUUGAGUGCGGCAGAGGAGACUGGAAUUCCUGGUGUAGCAGUGAAAUGCGUAGAUAUCAGGAGGAACACCGAUGGCGAAGGCAGGUCUCUGGGCUGACACUGACGCUGAUGCACGAAAGCGUGGGGAGCAAACAGG